GGCCUCCUACGGGACGCAGCAGUGAGGGAUAUUGGUCAAUGGGGGAGACCCUGAACCAGCAACGCCGCGUGAGGGAAGACGGUUUUCGGAUUGUAAACCUCUGUCCUCUGUGCAGAUAAUGACGGUAGCAGAGGAGGAAGCUCCGGCUAACUACGUGCCAGCAGCCGCGGUAAUACGUAGGGAGCGAGCGUUGUCCGGAUUUACUGGGUGUAAAGGGUGCGUAGGCGGCCCUGCAAGUCAGGAGUGAAAUCCAUGGGCUUAAC
rnacentral:rRNA from 1 species